rnacentral:rRNA from 1 species
AUGUCAAAGAGGCUGUGGUGCUUGAAAGAAAGGAGGAGGCUGUUGUUUUUUCUCAGAGGAGCAGAAACAUCAGCUGAAAUGCUGAACAUAAAUGUUAGAUGGCCAAGAUGGAACAUUGCUCUGCAUUCCUUCUCUAUGACUGGAUACCAGGGUCAAAUUAGGUCUAUUUUGAAUCACCUACCAACAGAGCUCUUUGAAUUAUGGCAGCACGCUAAUAAUGUGCAAAGAUUGGCUGAUUGGGCUGUGUCAACAGACGAUUUCAAUUCACCAAUGGACUCAAUUGGUUUUGUGAGCUGUCAGAAUAUGCUAGAUAACCGCGAAUAUGGAAAACCAUAA